CCUACGGGUGGCAGCAGUGAGGAAUAUUGGUCAAUGGCCGGAAGGCUGAACCAGCCAUGCCGCGUGAAGGUCAGUGCCCUAUGGGCGUUAAACUUCUUUUGUGCGGGAGCAAUAAUGGUCACGUGUGGCAAGACGAGAGUACCGUACGAAUAAGAAUAGGCAAAGUCCGUGCCAGCAGCCGCGGUAAUACGGGGGAUGCAGGCGUUAUCCGGAUUUAUGGGGGUAAAGGGGGGCGUGGGCGGCCUGCUAGGUCUGGAGUGAAGUGUACCGGCUCAACCGGUACAGGCUCUGGAAACUGGCGGGCUAGAGAGCAGGAGAGGGCGGUGGAACUCCAUGUGUAGCGGUAAAAUGCGUAGAUAUAUGGAAGAACACCAGUGGCGAAGGCGGCCGCCUGGCCUGUUACUGUCGCUGAGGCACGAAAGCGUGGGGAGCAAAUAGGAUUAGAUACCCGGGUAGUC
rnacentral:rRNA from 1 species